rnacentral:rRNA from 1 species
UCCCCCAAGAGUCCACAUCGACGGGGAGGUUUGGCACCUCGAUGUCGGCUCAUCACAUCCUGGGGCGGUAGUAGGUCCCAAGGGUUGGGCUGUUCGCCCAUUAAAGUGGUACGCGAGCUGGGUUCAGAACGUCGUGAGACAGUUCGGUCCCUAUCCGUCGCAGGCGUAGGAAAUUUGAGAAGACCUGUCCUUAGUACGAGAGGACCGGGAUGGACGUACCUCUGGUGUACCAGUUGU